UGGAUUUAUCAAACAAUAAUGAGAGAGAUUUGGGGCCAAAGAUUCUGUUUAUUGAAGUGUUUAAGCCGUAACCGGAAAAAAAAUAAAAAGUUGAAUAUCUAAAAUAAGAAUGGGUUGUGGAUUGCUCUCAUAAAAUGAAUUUUUAUUCUCUCUCCUUAUCCUAAUCCUCUCGCUUCUCUCUACAACCUCAAGAACUCCACCGCGUUUCCACCGGCGUUGGCGGCUCGCCGCUGGUGCCGGUGCCUCCUUCUCCCCUCUCGUUUUCCCUUUGCUUCGUUACUUAGCCUCUCCCCCUAGCCGAUAUGCUGAAGCACUGAUGUCGUUGGUUGAUGAUUGAUUCGGGGUCCGACCAUGGCGGUUCUUCCAGAUCUGUCGUCACCGGUGGCCUUGGUUGGACAGCGAGGUUCGUGGAGGUGCGGCUAGUUGCGGAGUCGGAUUUUAAGGUGGCUAGGGUUUUGGAUCUGCCGAUUUUCAGAUCUCUUUGGUGUGAUUCUCCCUUAGCCAGUUCUGGAGGCGCGUGAGUCACGGAGAUGGCUCAAUCGGUUCAGAUCUGUCAGCGGUCUGUGUUGAUGUGGGGUUGGCUCUCUGCCUUGGUGUCUCGGCGACAGCGACUUGCCAUUCAUACCCAAGUAGGGCUUCGUGGGCUUUGCUCACAAAGGUGUUGGCGCGUGUUGCUCAAAGGAUAGUGUCUGGUACUCAGGCGUCGGCUGUCUGGUCAAGCUUCCCCUGUCUUUGCUCUCUUCGGUUUCACAGAGAUGGUGGGUUGGAGAGCCCGUUUCCUGGUUUUGAGCUCUCCAGGCUUCUGGGCUUUGGGGUCUUGGUUCUUCAUCUUCAGGGUCAUGCGUUCUGUCUCGUUUGAUUCCAUUAUCUCGUAAGGAAACUCUCUCUUGUUUUAAGAGAAGUAUCGUGGGUGGUGUUUAUCGGGUUCGUGGUCAUGGAGCUCCGGUUUCUCCUCCUCGACGGCACGAUUAAGGCUGUUUCAUCCCAGUGUCGUGGUGUUCCCUUGGAUUUCCCGCGGCAGAACUAGUCUUCUUCCUUUCAGUGCAGGUCCCGUUUUCUCCUACACCUAGCUUCCUCCUUAGCAACAUGUCCUUUCGGCCAUUGGAGUUGUGUGUGUGCUCGUGCCUCUCACGUAUGUUGCUACUCACCUUCUGUGUGCUUAAUUGUCAGUGGUAGUGCUUGUUUGGACGAGAGUGAGGAUGCUUCGGCUCCUCUCUGGAUUAACAGCUCUGGAAGGCAAUCGAAUGUAAGGCCCGGAGUUGCUUCUGUGACUUGUCUGUGUAGUCUGACCAUUUUCACCUUCCGGUAGUUUGUCGUACCAAUUUUACUUUCGUUCAUCUUGUGAGCCAUUGUUAUUCACCUUAUAGGGUUUUGCUUAUCGGUGUUGUUCUUCGUGUUUUCCUUUAGUACCAGUUGUAUUUCUUUUAUUUUGUUCUAUUUUUCUUCUUCUUUGUGAACUCUGUAUCCUCUUUUUUCCGUGGAUUGCUCUCGGGCUCGUACUUCUUCUUCUUCUUCUUAGUUAAGCUGCGCUUUUUUGUGUGCUUCGGUCACUGAUUUCGGAUCAGAUCAACUUGUGGGGCCGAGCGGGUAUCCAGGCACAUAUCCAACAUUAUUUAUGUUGUCGAGUUAUAAAAUGUGAUCUUUAAGAUAUUUUGUUGUUUUAUUUAGUAUUUUAAUCAUUUUAAUUUGAGAAAUUCCUUAAGAUAGCCUUUUUUAGUUUUUAUAAAAAAAUAGUGAUCAAAAUAAGUUUUACUAAAAGGUGUGAAAAUAGUGAUCAAAAUAAGUUUUACUAAAAGUUGAAAAAUGUAUUUUUACCCUAGAAUUAACUAAUCUAGACUUAGGGUUUAUGGUUAAGGGGUGGAGUUUUGGGGAUAUAGUUUAAAUUUUUUUUAAAAAAUAUAUAUUAAAAAUUUUAAAAUAAAAAGUGGCUAUUUUGGUUUUUUUUUGUUUAAAAACUAUUUUAUGACAAAAACUUAAAAAUGAUUAUCCGAGAGAAUUCACUUUUUUAUUUUAAUCGGCUCAAAUUUUGUUGUUAUCGAUAUAAAGUAUUUAGAGAAACAUAUGUUUUUAUGUUACUCACAAUUUUUAUGUUCCAUUAAAAUUAUUAGCGUAGAAAUUUCAAUCAUACCAAUCCACAUCCAGGUAGCCCAAUCCCCAAUAGGUUCGACUGUAUUUUGAUAUAUGCGGGCCAGUCCACAGAAAAUUACGGUUUGUAUACAUAUAUCCCGAUCUAUCUCACUAUUAGACUAUUUGCGGUCCAUUUUGACAUCAUUGUCUCCACCUAAUUUAAUUUUGUUUUAUCAUGAACCGUAAGGACCCGUAAAUUUUUCUUGGACGGUAGGCACUAAAGUUAUGUGGCUAUGCCUAGGCACGAUGUUUGAAUGUUCAAUUAGGUUCGACUCGGUUUCAAUUAAAUUUUAGUUUUUCAGGAAUAUAAAAUUUAACCACUUUGAAUAUUUUUAAACUUUAACUAAAAUUCGGUUAUGUUUUUUUUGGGAUUCGCUUCGAAUAUAUUAACAUAUCGCAAACUUAGUUGAACCCGUUUUAAAUUUCAGUUAAUUCUAAUUUGGAUUUCGAUUAUCAAAUACUUAUUUAUUUGUGAUUCGAAAAUACAAUUUUACUUCAUAAAUUUGUAAGUUAAAACAAAUUACACUAACAAAAACUUGGUAUAGUAUGAUUCAAAAGUGGUAGUUGAAAAGACAAAAACAUAAAUAAAUUCAAACUACCAAUUUACAACUCUACGAAUGUAUAAAACAUUAUUUAAACUUCAAAAUAAAGAAACAUUAUUUAAAGUUUAGAAGCAAACUUAUUUCAUAAUCAAACUUUAAAUGCAACUAUUAUAACAUAAAACUAUAAAAUUUAACCAAAUAUCAAAAUAUACAUUAAACUAAGUAUUGAGUUAAUUAUUAAUCUAAUACUUAUUUUACAUACAUUCUUAAGUAUUUUAAGUACUUAUUUGGGAUUGGUUCAAAUUUUCUUUUUAAAUUUUUGAAAUUUUUCUUUUUAAUUUUGAAAUUUUGUUUUUUUGGGCUAUUCAUUUGGGUAGAACCCCAAAAUCAAAUACCUUAAGACUCAUUUGUAUAUUUAUGUAAAAUUUUAUUUGGUUCAGAUAUAUUUUUCGGGUAGAUUUUGUUUAGAUUUUCAGAUUUUUUCCCACCCACUAGUACAUAUCUUCGGUUCUCCAUUUAGUUCUGAUUUUUUAGAUAUAAUGAAAAAAACUAUUAAGAAAUCUAUAGAAACCGAUUCGGUUUUGGUUUGAUUUUUUUUAUUUACUGUUUAGUAUGAUACUAGUAUUAUUGCCCGUGCCUAGCACGGGUUGAUUUAUUGUCUUUAAAUUUUUUUAUUUUUCUGCUAAAAAAAUAUUUGACCAAACAUCUAAUUUUCAAUCAGAAUAAUUAUUAUUUUUGUCAAAUAUUUUAUGAACCUUGAUAACAGUAGCACAUAAUAUUAGAGGUAUAUGCUUCCAAACAAAACGGAUAAAAAAGAUAAAACAAUAAUUCUUAUCUCAUUCUUAAAAUACAUGUGUGCUAUAGUUUUCCAAAAACAAUUAAUAUAUCUAUAUAUCAAAAUAUAAAAUAUAAAAUAUAAAAUAUUGCUAAAAUACUGUAUGUGAUCCAGUAACAAAUACUUAAUUUAAUAUAAAUUUAGAAAUAGUACAUGUAGUAGUUUAUACAGUGUUUCCAAUCUUUAUUAUCUUACAAUUUUCUUUAUGAUUUUUUUGAUAUGAAAUGUUUAAUUAUCUUUUUUUUAAACAUGUACUUAAAAAUCAACCUAUAUUGGUUAUUUUUAUAGUUUAUUUGUUUUUAAAGCUUAAAAUUUUAAAAAUUUGCCUUGCUAUUCUAUUAAAACGUUUUUGAAUUAUUAAAAUUUCUAGAAAAUUAUAUGUUUUUUUUAAAUAUUAAUUCUUUCGUUUUUAGCUAUUUGUAAAAACUACUUGAAAAAACAAUAGAAAAUUUGAGAAUUUGCAAAAUUAACUACAUAAAUUAUUGGAAAUUUUGAAACUGUUUUAACACAUGAUACCGACUAAGACAGUCUAAAUGGUCAAGCAAUAAUGUAGAACAUUAAAGAGUUAAGGCCUUAAUUUGGUGUGUAAAAACUACUGUAAAAGGAAAAAUGAAAUUAUUUUUUUACCUGAAAUUCUGACUGGUCACAAGUUUUGCAUCUGAUUUAUCUAACCCAUUCGUCUUCAACCUUCUUUUUUGUGAAAGGACUUGUCUUCAACCUUCGUCAAAUUUAUUCUAGAAUAGACCUCAUCUAAUUUUCAAUCAGCUUUGAUUUCUCAUGCAUAUCUGCAACAAACAAAAAUAAUUGAUAAACUGAACAAUAUAAAUAUUUAUGCUUUUUUCUUUCAAAAAAUAUAUCUAUGCUUUUUUUUUGUUUAUUCAUAUUUUUGGAAAAUUAGCUAAACUUAUGAAUUCCUCAUACACCUGCAGGAAUACUACAAAUUCUGGAAGCCAUGCAACAAAAUACUUAAGUUAGAAGGAUAUCUCCAUAUUACCUUACUCGUAUUAAUCUCUUCUAACACGAUGAUUUCAAACUUGAUACUUUGAAAAAGGUUUAAAGACACAUGUAUAUUGAUAAAAAAUGCAUGAUUUAGAAAAACUCGUGGAUGAUAGAAAAUAGAAGUUUUGUAUUGGUGCAGAAAACAAAAAGAAGAUAUGAAUAAACCAGUCAAUUAAAAUUGAAAAUUUAGGAGAGGUAAUGGAUCAGUUGUUUCUUUGAGCAACUGAAGAUAGUAGAAGAACGGUUUUACUUUAAUGAAGCUUGUAUAUAAAUUUGUUGAUAUGAUCGAACUGAUUUCAAAAUUAUUUAUUUAUAUUAUAAACAACUUAUGUGAAAGAGGUGAGGAUCGUGGUUAGGAAGAAAAUCAGUAUGCUUAGAAACUUGUUGAUGACGUUUUUAAAAUUACUAGAUUCUUUGUCCGCGCUACGCGCGGAAAAUAGGCUAUUUCAAUUUUGUGUUUAUUUGAAUUUUUUUUUAUUAUUAGUAAUUUUUAUAUUAAGAAAUAUGGACUAUUUUAAUUUUGUGUUUGAUUUGAAAUAUUUUAUUACUAUUAAUAAUAUAUAUUAAAUAUUUGUAAAAUGAGAGCAAUUUAUUUAAAAUAAUUCGAAAAUAUUGAUGAAGUAGCAAUUUACAAAAGCUCUACACAAUUUUAUCUCCCAAUAAAUCUCAUCUUUAUAGUAGAUUUCUUAUUCACUCUAAUCAUGCUUUCUUACUCACUAACACCUAGACAUCACAUAUGUCUUUUUAUUUAUUCUCUAUAUAUUUAAAUUGCUUAGCAAAGAUUGAAAGACAUAAGUUGAGUUUUAGAUUUUAUAUAGAAGUAGAGAUCUAAAAAAAAAACAAUGAUAAAAUAGUUUAAAAUGUAAAUAAAUCUAGGUAUCAAGUUCUCUGAGAAAGAGAAUAAUAAUCCGAAUGAUGCAUGAAUUAGAAUCACUCUUUGUUGUAUGCUUUUGCAUGAUCUCUUAUUCGCCUUUUGAAAUGCUUUAUGUAAUCAAUUGAUUUGUUGAAGUAGAAAUUUGUUGCUGGUGAUGAACGGAGUAGUAGUUUGCCUGAAAAAUAUUGGAUAUUAUUGUUAUGUUGAUAAUAAAAAUUUAGAUCUGUAUUAUUUUUUGAAGUGUUUAAAAAAAUUAUUUACCUUGGAAAAGUUUAGGAAUUAUACUUGUGAUGAUGACAACUUUAAAUUUCAUAUUUUUCUUGCUUUUUAGGAUGCUAAAAUCUGAUGCUUGCUUGUCGCACAUGAUGAGUUUAGCAAUUGUCGACCUGAGAUAGAGAUGUAUGUAUGAAGAGAAUUAUAAUUUCGUGUUUAACUAUUGUGUUAGACUUACCUGUUCAGCCGCAGACCAAUCGUGGCAUCAAUAUUGAGUUUCCGUUGAGCCGACCUUCUAAUAGUUGUCCCUGAGUGUGAACAAAUUUUGUUGUGCCAAACCAAUUAAGUAAAUAAUGAGUAGUUUAAAUCAAAUAUGGUGGAUUGGAAAAUAUAUAUGUAUAUGUUAAAGUUUUAAAAAAGCUUACGUGGUGGUCGUAGCACAGGAAGCCGAUGGAAGUUUGAGUAUUAUCUGUUUGGUGUUUUCUGAUGUCCCAAACAUUGCUUAUACAUACUGUGAUAGGACGCACUGAAAUCCCUUCCUGAAGUUGGUGGAUUCUUUGAGGAAUGUAUUGCAUGUAAGACGUCACUGUAAAACAUGCGAUUUUAAUUAAGGCUGAACUUCAAAGCUCUGAUUGUAAUAAAUGAUUACAUUCAAACAAAUUUUAUUUACUACCAAAACCAAUACAUGGAUUUUAUUUUAUCUGAAUGAUAUGGCACUUCCAAUUGGCUUUUUUCCUUUGUCUUGACUAAUUAGGUAUUUUAAAUAAUAUGAAUAAUGUUUAAAGCAGCGGGUAAUGAAUAAUUUAAAACAAUAUCAUUAAUAUAUAUGGCUGGUCAAACCGGAUUUUUUCUGGGUCACCGGAUUUAACGGUUCAACCGCGGGUCUGGGUCAGGUUUUGUGAAAAACCUAAUAUUUAAAAACCCACGAAAACCAGAAAAAACCCACUAAAACUUGGAAUCCGAUACCGGUUGAACCACCGGUUAAACCAAUAAAUAACUUUUACGUUAUUUUUUUAGUUUUUAGAUUAUGUUUUAUAUUCUAAGUUUUCAAUUAAGAAGUUAGCUGCUGACAAAAUGUCAGGCUUUCCGUUUUUAAUUUAUAUAUGUGAUUUUUAGAAUUUGAUGAAAACUUCACUAUGCCAGUUGAUGUGAUUUGGUGUUAGUUUAUUUCUGCUAUCGAUAAUUUAUUACAAUGAUCUUUUACUUUUGGUUUAUUUUUAAUUUGAAGUUUGAUUUAUUAUUCACAUUAGACAUUUAAAUAUUUAUGAAUUUUAUAUCUUGAUUUUUUAGAUUCAGAAAAUUUUAAAUAGUCUAAACUAUUUUUUGAUAUUUUAUAUGUCAAAGGAAAAUAAAAAUAUAAAAUUAAAGUUAAGUAUUUUCUAAAUACUUUUUAAACAUAAAAUAUACACAUAUCCAAACUAUUAUUUUAUGUUUUAAAAAAAUUUGAAAAUAUUAAACUUUAUUUUUUUAUAUUUAUUUUCAUAGAUAAUAUAUUAUUAUUAUAUUAUAAAAUUAAUUCAUUUAUAAACCCGCAGUUGAUCCAGUGACCCAUCGACCCGGUAAGUCGUCCGGUUCAGUGUCCGGGUCGGAUUUAAAAACAUUGAUUGGAACUAAUAUUAGGUUUUAAGUAAAUAAAAAUAUGACCAUUGACGAAUAGGCUGUGCUAUUAGCAUUUGAAAACAUAUAUAACAAUUUAGCAUUAUUAUUAUUUAUACAAUGGUGUAGUUAUACAUAUCACCACCUAUUUCAGCCAUUAGAUCUGCGAUUAGAGAUUUUGGUGUUAUAGGAUAAAGUAUGAUUAUGAUGCGUUUUGUUUGAUAAAUACUUAUUAUUAUAAAAUUUUGAUGGUUUCCUGAAACAAUAUGAACGGUGUGAUUGGUUUCAAUUUGAAACAUACAUGGUCUGUGGAAUCGAUGUGCCAGAAAUCACUAUUGCAUAAUUCACAAAAAAAAAAAAAAUUUAACAGAUAUAAUCUAUGGUAUAUAGGGAAUUCAUUCGCAAGUAUCACGGAAAAGAAUCAUGAAUUAACGUAAAAAUGGUGUCCAAAUUUUAUAAACAUUGACUUGAACCAUGUAAUAAUUUCCUCCAUAUUUUAAUAUUUGAGAAUUGUCUGAGCGAAGGUUUACGCAGCAAAUGCUCUCUUUAAUUAGAUGAAGAUUAGAGUAUAUAGUGCCUGGUAAUAACAAAUGGGUAAGUUUGUGUGUAGGAAAUUAUAGAUUAGCAUUAACAGUUUAUAAAUGACUUUUGAACAGCUUAGCUGUAUAUAGUAUAAGAUCGUUUUCAAAUUUAUUCAGUGAAGACGAUCAUGCUUGAUCACUGAAUAGGAACAAUGUGCGGUUAUGGUUUACGUGAUUGAUACGUUAGAUAUAUGCAAGCAGCUUUGUAAGCAGUCUGAUUAGCUAAAUGAGAGUCUGCUUAACGUAAACAAUAAUUAAAUUACAUAUUUAUCAUGUGUAAAAAUACAUAAUUAUAUAACUUUAAAAUUUUACAAAUUAUCUAACACUUAAAAAUAAAGAUUUGUGUUACCUGCAAUUUGGACAGGAGGGUUAGGAGGUGGGUUCUCCAUUCUGUCGAUCUUGUGAUCCUUAGACUCAAUCUGUUCAUAAAUCUGUAAUUAGGAAUAGGUAUAGAAAUUUGUUGACUUAUUGUAAAUUCUUACACCUACACUUUGGAGGCUUUUGGGGUAUUGACUUGAUAUUAGCUUAAUUGUCGGUUCCAAUGGCGAAGGUAUGAGAGAAUAAUUAAUCUAGGUGUUUCUUUGAUUGUGCAAGGAAAAAAGUGUUUCUUGAAAGACGGAGGUAGGUGUAAUCCGCUUUGGUUUAUAUUAAAGAUGAAGUUAUUCCUUAGGAGAUAUGAUCUGUAUAUAUUGUUCUGUUUACGUUUUUAUAAGUAGUAGAUAGUAACAAAUUUACUUUAUUAUAAUUGAUGCUAGGUGCUAAACUUAUGGACCAAAUCACGUAGGUCAAAGAUUUAAUAAAUAUGUAAUUCGAUUUGGUUUAUAUUAAAUAAUGAAGUUAUUCCCUAGGAUAUAAGAUCUGCAUAUAUUGCUCUGUUUACGUUUUUGGAAGUAGUAUAUAGUAACAAAUUUACUUUAUUCUAAUUGAUGAUAAGUGCUAAACUUAUGGACCAAACCACGUCUAUCAAAGAUUUAAUAAAUAUGUAAUUUCAAAGACGUUAGCAUUGGAUGUGAUCAUACAUAUACGUUGUUCAGUAAUAAUCACAAAAUCAGAUCCUAAUGACUUCCUUAUUUUAAAGUCUGAAUGUAUGCGUAGUAGUAAGGGAAAAUAAGACUAACAUAAUAUAAAACCAUAAAAGGGAAAGUGUAUUAAAAGAAACAUAGAAAGCAUGCAAUGAACAAAAGUUUGAAGAUAAAAAUGGUAAACAUAAAACAGAACUUAAACUGCAGCAAAAUCAAUCAUGGCAUAAGAGGAUUGAUAAAGCUGUAUUAGCCACUCUUGGGACGUUUGGCUUCAUCCGACUCCAUACCAUCAGAGGCUUUCCUAACCCUCUCACCCACAGUACCAUCAAGACCUCAGAUAGGACCGGAGUCCUCACUUACAGACUUCAAGACAUCAUCAGAUGUUGAUGGAACAGCGUGUUCUUCCAAGAGAGCUACAUGAUGUGGAGCCUCUGGUGGGAAUACCUUCGUGACAGUAAUGGUUUGGGUCUUCCCUGAGAAAUUAAGAUCGGAGACUUCCACAAUGAAUUUAUGUGUCUGCCCUAUUGUAUCGAGUAGAGCCUGCGGCACCGGCACGCACUGAUCAGCCUCUACGCCCUCAUUACACUAACGUUCAAGAAAAAUAUAUGUAAGAUCAACUAACUUGGAGCUAUGUAUAGAUAUGUUUGAAAUUACCUCAAAGUAACUAGCAACUAAUUCUGAUGCAUGUUUUCCAGUCAACUCUCUGCCGGCGUCACCAAGGAUCACGAAAACUGCAUGUUCACUCUUAUCAUAAACAUUAAUCCUCGUGAGGUAUCUGCAAUGAGAGGCGAUUAGAUAUUAGCGGUGGGAAAAACAUAUAGAUGAAACUGUAUAUAGGACACUCACUGAGGAAUGCCUGUAAAAACACUCUUGUCACAUUUCUUGUUGUUACAAAUGAGAGAGGUAGGCCCAUUGACUGCCUUACUGUUACACCCACCGCAUGAAAUAUAAUACCAAGCGGAACCACGAACGACAUCAUCUAUAGUUGCUGUACAUUCGAACCACGCAACCUCCCAUUUUGAAAAUAAAAUAAAUUAUAUUAAUACACAAUGAAGCAUAACAUAAUAAGUGUGAGACAGAACAACUAUUGUACCUUAGCAGUUUCCAGUUUGAUGUAGGAGAAAAGUUCCGCUAGAGUUGCGGUCUCAGGCUUAGUAACAACCUCUGCAUCAAUUUUGUUAGCAAUAUCUGAGUUGAAACUCAACCUGAGAAAACGGGGAAACCAAAAAAAAGUCAGUGCUGAGUUCGCAUGAGAUACCAAAACAGUAGUUCAAUGAAAAUUCUAACUGAAUACCAAAAUGCAUACCAGGCAAGAUAGUCCCUGCUAGGCUGGACAUCAGCAUCCAUAAACACUCGAGAUGAUGACAUCGACGUGAGAGCAAGGGUUCCUGUUCACAACACAUUAAUUAAUUACUACCAUACAACUCGUGAGUACACAACCAAUUACGACCACGGUCUCAAAUAACAGUAAAGAUGUCUCAAUACAAUUCAGUUUGAGUUACCACACAUACGUUCUAUAUGAGUACACAACCAAUUACGACAAAUAAUGAGACAAUAUAGUUUUAGUGACUUAAUCCGGUAGUUGAACGAAAUGCUUACCUCCAAGAUGUUUAGGGUUUACUGUUGUGACCAAAAUAACGCUUGGAGUGCUUACAUACGACUUGAAUUUCUCGCAGAAUUCAGAUGCUGCAUGGUCCCAUAGAUAGAGUUUCAUUACUGGCCCGCUGCACAAGUAUAAAUAAUGUGUUAGACAUAACACACAAAAACGCGUCUAAUAUUUGAACAAACUUACCCAUGUGUCUAAACAUGAACACAUAGAUGUCGCUUCUCUGCUAUAUCAACUUCGUCGAGGACCAUACGUUCAGUGAUAGCCUGCCCAUCCACCAGCUUCAUGUGGCCAACAUAGUCUGAGAUAGAACAAUUCAAAGGAACAAUGUUAUUUGGGUGGAAAACCAAAUGAUUUAAGUAUAAAGAUCAACAGUGCUUACCAUAAAGAUUAAUUUUGCGGUCGCAGUCGGCCUGAAACUCUUCGUAACUGUAGAACCUGAACCUAUCUUCCUGGAAUGCAACCGGAGGGUUAUCAAUAACCGAUAGCUCAGAAUUCCAAGAAAAUGUGACGGUGGCGCUAUGAUCNNNNNNNNNNNNNNNNNNNNNNNNNNNNNNNNNNNNNNNNNNNNNNNNNNNNNNNNNNNNNNNNNNNNNNNNNNNNNNNNNNNNNNNNNNNNNNNNNNNNNNNNNNNNNNNNNNNNNNNNNNNNNNNNNNNNNNNNNNNNNNNNNNNNNNNNNNNNNNNNNNNNNNNNNNNNNNNNNNNNNNNNNNNNNNNNNNNNNNNNNNNNNNNNNNNNNNNNNNNNNNNNNNNNNNNNNNNNNNNNNNNNNNNNNNNNNNNNNNNNNNNNNNNNNNNNNNNNNNNNNNNNNNNNNNNNNNNNNNNNNNNNNNNNNNNNNNNNNNNNNNNNNNNNNNNNNNNNNNNNNNNNNNNNNNNNNNNNNNNNNNNNNNNNNNNNNNNNNNNNNNNNNNNNNNNNNNNNNNNNNNNNNNNNNNNNNNNNNNNNNNNNNNNNNNNNNNNNNNNNNNNNNNNNNNNNNNNNNNNNNNNNNNNNNNNNNNNNNNNNNNNNNNNNNNNNNNNNNNNNNNNNNNNNNNNNNNNNNNNNNNNNNNNNNNNNNNNNNNNNNNNNNNNNNNNNNNNUUUAAAAAUCUAAUGUAUUUUAAAAAUACGGAUCCGGAUCCGGAUAUCCGGACCUAAAAAUUACGAUAUCCGGAUCCGGAUUCGGUUUGCACGGAUCCAAGAUUUUACUAUCCGGAUUCGGAUCCGGGCACCCCGGAUAUCCUAUUUUCGGAGCGGAUCCGGAGCGGAUCUCGGAUCGAAUCCGGAUCUCGGAUAAUAAGUCCCAGGCCUAAUAGGCUGUGCUAUUAGCAUUUGAAAAUAUCUAUAACAGUUUAGCAUUAUUAUUAUUUAUACAAUGGUGUAGUUAUACAUAUCACCACCUAUUUCAGCCAUUAGAUCUGCGAUUAGAUAUUUUGGUGUUAUAGGAUAAAGUUUGAUUAUGAUGCGUUUUGUUUGAUAAAUACUUAUUAUUAUAAAAAAAAUUAUGUUUUUCUGAAACAAUAUGAACGGUGUGAUUGGUUUCAAUUUGUAACAUACAUGGUCUGUGGAAUCGAUGUGCCAGAAAUCACUAUUGCAUAAUUCACAAAAAAAAAAACAAUUUUAACAGAUAUAAUCUAUGGUAUAUAGGGUAUUCAUUCGCAAGUAUCACAGAAAAGAAUCAUGAAUUAACGUAAAAAUGGUGUCCAAAUUUUAUAACCAUUGACUUGAACCAUGUAAUAAUUUCCUCCAUAUUUUUAAUAUUUGAGAAUUGGCUAAGUGAAGGUUUACGCAGCAAAUGCUCUCUUUAAUUAGAUGAAGAUUAGAGUAUAUAGUGCCUGGCAAUAACAAAUGGGUAAGUUUGGGUGUAGGAAAUUAUAGAUUAGCAUUAACAGUUUAUCAAUGAUUUUUUGAACAGUUUAGCUGCAUAUAGUAUAAGAUCGUUUUCAAAGUUAUUCAAUGAAGAUGAUGAUCUUGUGUUUGUUUUGUAUUGUUAGCUCAAUGAAUCAAGUGUAAAUUAUGGUCGUUAUCAACUAUAUACAUUUUAAUGUGUAUAUUAUCAUUGUAGUUACAAGGAAAGUGCAUACGUAAUUGGCGACUCAUGUAUUGGUUAUGCUUCCUCAUAAUGAAAGUAUUUAUGUAUUAAACAAAAUUGUCAAUAUUACAUAGAAACGUAAGGUUUGCGUUUUUCAUAAAGUUACAAUCGGAUCGGUUAAUAGGAACAAUGUGCGGUUAUGGUUUACGUGAUUGAUACGUUAGAUAUGCAAGCAGCUUCGUAAGCAGUCUAAUUAGCUAAAUAAGAGUCUGCUUAACGUAAACAAUAAUUAGAUUACAUAUUUAUCAUGUGUAAAAAUACAUAAUUAUAUAACUUUAAAAUUUUACAAAUUAUCUAACACUUAAAAAUAAAGAUUUGUGUUACCUGCAAUUUGGACAGGAGGGUUAGGAGGUGGGUUCUCCAUUCUGUCGAUCUUGUGAUCCUUAGACUCAAUCUGUUCAUAAAUCUGUAAUUAGGAAUAGGUAUAGAAAUUUGUUGACUUAUUGUAAAUUCUUACACCUACACUUUGGAGGCUUUUGGGGUAUUGACUUGAUAUUAGCUUAAUUGUCGGUUCCAAUGGCGAAGGUAUGAGAGAAUAAUUAAUCUAGGUGUUUCUUUGAUUGUGCAAGAAAAAAGGUGUUUCUUGAAAGACGGAGGUAGGUGUAAUUCGCUUUGGUUUAUAUUAAAGACGAAGUUAUUCCUUAGGAGAUAUGAUCUGUAUAUAUUGUUCUGUUUACGUUUUUGGAAGUAGUAGAUAGUAACAAAUUUACUUAAUUACUUUAUUAUAAUUGAUGCUAGGUGCUAAACUUAUGGACCAAAUCACGUAGGUCAAAGAUUUAAUAAAUAUGUAACUCGAUUUGGUUUAUACUAAAUAAUGAAGUUAUUCCCUAGGAUAUAAGAUCUGCAUAUAUUGCUCUGUUUACGUUUUUGGAAGUAGUAUAUAGUAACAAAUUUACUUUAUUCUAAUUGAUGAUAAGUGCUAAACUUAUGGACCAAACCACGUCUAUCAAAGAUUUAAUAAAUAUGUAAUUUCAAAGACGUUAGCAUUGGAUGUGAUCAUACAUAUACGUUGUUCAGUAAUAAUCACAAAAUCAGAUCCUAAUGACUUCCUUAUUUUAAAGUCUGAAUGUAUGCGUAGUAGUAAGGGAAAAUAAGACUAACAUAAUAUAAAACCAUAAAAGGGAAAGUGUAUUAAAAGAAACAUAGAAAGCAUGCAAUGAACAAAAGUUUGAAGAUAAAAAUGGUAAACAUAAAACAGAACUUAAACUGCAGCAAAAUCAAUCAUGGCAUAAGAGGAUUGAUAAAGCUGUAUUAGCCACUCUUGGGACGUUUGGCUUCAUCCGACUCCAUACCAUCAGAGGCUUUCCUAACCCUCUCACCCACAGUACCAUCAAGACCUUUGAUAGGACCGGAGUCCUCACUUACAGACUUCAAGACAUCAUCAGAUGUUGAUGGAACAGCGUGUUCUUCCAAGAGAGCUACAUGAUGUGGAGCCUCUGGUGGGAAUACCUUCGUGACAGUAAUGGUUUGGGUCUUCCCUGAGAAAUUAAGAUCGGAGACUUCCACAAUGAAUUUAUGUGUCUGCCCUAUUGUAUCGAGUAGAGCCUGCGGCACCGGCACGCACUGAUCAGCCUCUACGCCCUCAUUACACUAACGUUCAAGAAAAAUAUAUGUAAGAUCAACUAACUUGGAGCUAUGUAUAGAUAUGUUUGAAAUUACCUCAAAGUAACUAGCAACUAAUUCUGAUGCAUGUUUUCCAGUCAACUCUCUGCCGGCGUCACCAAGGAUCACGAAAACUGCAUGUUCACUCUUAUCAUAAACAUUAAUCCUCGUGAGGUAUCUGCAAUGAGAGGCGAUUAGAUAUUAGCGGUGGGAAAAACAUAUAGAUGAAACUGUAUAUAGGACACUCACUGAGGAAUGCCUGUAAAAACACUCUUGUCACAUUUCUUGUUGUUACAAAUGAGAGAGGUAGGCCCAUUGACUGCCUUACUGUUACACCCACCGCAUGAAAUAUAAUACCAAGCGGAACCACGAACGACAUCAUCUAUAGUUGCUGUACAUUCGAACCACGCAACCUCCCAUUUUGAAAAUAAAAUAAAUUAUAUUAAUACACAAUGAAGCAUAACAUAAUAAGUGUGAGACAGAACAACUAUUGUACCUUAGCAGUUUCCAGUUUGAUGUAGGAGAAAAGUUCCGCUAGAGUUGCGGUCUCAGGCUUAGUAACAACCUCUGCAUCAAUUUUGUUAGCAAUAUCUGAGUUGAAACUCAACCUGAGAAAACGGGGAAACCAAAAAAAAGUCAGUGCUGAGUUCGCAUGAGAUACCAAAACAGUAGUUCAAUGAAAAUUCUAACUGAAUACCAAAAUGCAUACCAGGCAAGAUAGUCCCUGCUAGGCUGGACAUCAGCAUCCAUAAACACUCGAGAUGAUGACAUCGACGUGAGAGCAAGGGUUCCUGUUCACAACACAUUAAUUAAUUACUACCAUACAACUCGUGAGUACACAACCAAUUACGACCACGGUCUCAAAUAACAGUAAAGAUGUCUCAAUACAAUUCAGUUUGAGUUACCACACAUACGUUCUAUAUGAGUACACAACCAAUUACGACAAAUAAUGAGACAAUAUAGUUUUAGUGACUUAAUCCGGUAGUUGAACGAAAUGCUUACCUCCAAGAUGUUUAGGGUUUACUGUUGUGACCAAAAUAACGCUUGGAGUGCUUACAUACGACUUGAAUUUCUCGCAGAAUUCAGAUGCUGCAUGGUCCCAUAGAUAGAGUUUCAUUACUGGCCCGCUGCACAAGUAUAAAUAAUGUGUUAGACAUAACACACAAAAACGCGUCUAAUAUUUGAACAAACUUACCCAUGUGUCUAAACAUGAACACAUAGAUGUCGCUUCUCUGCUAUAUCAACUUCGUCGAGGACCAUACGUUCAGUGAUAGCCUGCCCAUCCACCAGCUUCAUGUGGCCAACAUAGUCUGAGAUAGAACAAUUCAAAGGAACAAUGUUAUUUGGGUGGAAAACCAAAUGAUUUAAGUAUAAAGAUCAACAGUGCUUACCAUAAAGAUUAAUUUUGCGGUCGCAGUCGGCCUGAAACUCUUCGUAACUGUAGAACCUGAACCUAUCUUCCUGGAAUGCAACCGGAGGGUUAUCAAUAACCGAUAGCUCAGAAUUCCAAGAAAAUGUGACGGUGGCGCUAUGAUCCGUAACCUGAUACUGAGCUUUGUUUCUGGAGCCGUAAAAAUGGCUUAGCUUAUAAACAGAACCAGAAGCCAGCUCAUAUGUCCCAACCCGACCCGCUGGAACAAAACCUUGAAUAACAGUCCCCUACAGAUCAUUUGAGAUAGUCGAUAAAUAGAAAUCAAACAAUAUUAGAGCAAUAUUAAAAAGGGGAUCAGUAGUAAAUGAUUCACAGACAAACCUCUUCAUCUAUGAGGAGCAUCUCCUGUCCAAUGAGCGUUUUCGAGUUUGGAUUUCGAGCCUCCCAGAAAUGAAUCAGUCGAAACCUUAAGUCGGCUUCGUGUGGGCCGAAUGAAACAUCUCUAAAGAGCAUCACUUGAUCGCCACGCGCGGAGGAGAGAGCAGACGAAACAAGAGACUUCCCGUUAGGUUUCAUCACGGUGUCGGAGGAACCGGUAGACAUCCGGCUUGGCCUUGGAGUCACUUGAUCGCCACGCGCGGAGGAGAGAGCAGACAAAACAGGAGACUUCCCGUUAGGUUUCAUCACGGUGUCGGAGGAACCGGUAGACUUCCGGCUUGGCCUUGGAGUCGCGGAGGAGGCGACGGUCUUCUUGUUGGUAUUGCGAUCGCCAGAGUUCGGUGAGUUUCCUUUGGGCUCCAUCGGGAUUUUGUAUGAGAGAAGAAAAUCAAUUGUAAUCGACGCAAAAAAUAGAGAUUUAUAAAUAGAGUAAUGGAGAGGAAGAUGAAAAGAAUCCAUUGAAUGAGAGCAAUGAAGAUGAAAGUAUGUGUUGAAACGGUUCCGGUGAGAAGAGAAAGAGAAGAUCUGGAAGAUGAAAGGUGAGCGAAGAACAACAUAUUCAUCGCCUACAGGAGAGAAUUGUGCCGACAGAGAUAGGGGAAGAAGCCCUAAUCGUAAAAUAAAAGAAGGCAUAUUAGGAAGCCCAAAACCAAAUACAAAAUAAGAAAGACGAAGCCCAAGUCGUGUAAUAGACGGAUGAUAUGUCUAAUUGCUUGAAUAUUACUGGUCGAAUUUCCAAUCCUAGGUGGCGUACGUAAGAAGCCUCCGUAUUCUCCUUUUAAUAGAGUUUUGAUUUCUAGGCAGUUUACGUGAAAAUAGUGGAGGCGGUGGCCUCAAUUGAGAAAUGGUGAUGAAACUUUAUUUUUUAAUGGGAGGAAACUUUGUAUCUUAACACACAAAGUACCCAACGGAGAUUAAAGCUAAGUGGACGCAAGUAAUUAAUAUUGAUUUUUUUGUUUGUUUUAAAUUUUUUUGUCAAGCUGAGAUUCGGAUUCGUCGUGCGACUUGUGAUUUAGUAUAUACGGAUUACUUGAAAAAUUCGGAAGGAGUUCAGGUUUAAGUUAAACCGUUUAACCAUCAUCUAUCUCCGGAACGAGGGGCAGUUCAGUAAUUUAAACAUCUUGAUGGUCAGACAUAAACCAAAGAAAAUUGUCGACGCUGACCAAACAACAUCACCUCACCUCGUGGUUGGUUUCUCACCGCCGGAUUGCGAUUCCGCUGAAAUCGACACGCUGCCUCCGUCGCUGGAAUCUCCGGCGAUCGAAUCUCACGGUUUCGCUUAAUCAACCCCCGGUAACUCUUUAUAUCCUUACAUUCAGAAAUUAAAAGCGAUGGUAUCUGAAAUCAACGAAAUAAAGGUUUCUUGUUAAGGCAACUCCGAUGCGUGGAAAUCGAAUUGGAGCGUAGAUCAAAGUUGGAGAUUUUCUACUUCUCUUCUCCUUCUGUUUAGGACUCAACCACUGUUAAUCCUUGUGUUUUCUUUUUGUCAGGUGCUUUGGUGGGGAUCUUCCCUUUUGGCCAUGGACGUUACAGGACAAGCAGCGAAGAAAGAGGUUUCAAAGAUUGUAAACGAUGAAGUUUCAUCAAUCGAGAUCAAAGUAUUGUUAUUCGCCAGAGCGCGUGAGCUCACGGGUGUGCCUGAUCUAAAACUGAAGAUGCCAUCAGGUAGUACAACAAAGAAAUGUAUGGACGAAUUGGUCAUCAAGUUUCCAAAGUUAGAAGACGUACGCAGCUGCGUGGUUCUUGCUUUGAACGAGGAAUAUACAACUGAUUCGGCAAUUGUUAAACACCGAGAUGAGUUGGCCAUCAUACCUCCAAUAAGUGGUGGCUAAUGCCUUUUGUACUUGUAACUAAAUCCUCUUAACUUGGGGUUUUGUAUUUUCAUUGGCAAUAAAAUCAUAAAUGUAACAGUUAAAAGACUUGAAAAACUCGUUACUUUUUGUUCUAAACAACACAAAAAACAAAAAAAAAAUCUUUCUUUUGAUGAGAAAAAGGUUACAUUAGUUCCAGUUUGCUCUGUUUCUCCUACAAUCAUGACUUCUGUGUAUUGAUUUUGUAGUCUCUCUGUUGAUUUUGGCAAAGAAGCAGCCACAUUAUCAUAACCCAGUAGCCAAAUACAUUUCUUUUCGAUUUUCUUCUUUGUUCCACCAAUCAGGUAAAAGAAACGAACCUUUUGUACACAAGAAAAUGGAAAUGUAUGAGACAAGAGAAAGUAUUUGCUCUUAUAAUAUUAGUUGAACGCUUGUAUAUAUUAGAAAGGGAGCUAAUUUUUCCCGUAAAAGUUCUCUGCAGUUUGCGCUAUUACAUAUUAUAUGCAAAGAACAUCGAUUUCUUGCACCUGUUAUUGGUGUUUAACUCCUUGGUGAGAGAUAUAAAACUUCAGUGCAUCUUUUAGAGAUUGUGAUCUAUUGUCUGGUUCUCAACGACCAAACAUAUGGAACUGUUUAUUUUCCCUGAUCAUGUACGCUUUGGUACCGUUCCCGGAUAGAGGAUAGAGAAAUAAACGGAGGAGGUAUGAAAGCGAGAACAGAGAUAUAUACAUUGUACAGAGGAGUCUAAUUGUAUUAAACACUUGCAGGGUAGGAUCACUUUUUAUCACACAUUAGGAUUUGAGAUAUAUAUUACAAGACACCAAAGGAAUUAAUCAAUGAUGUUAAGUAGAUGAACCAAACAAGAAACAAGUGUAUUGAUAUGAUGCAAGGUGUCUGCUUCAGGAAGAGAUUUCGUGGAAGUGAGGGAGCAUCGAAUUCUCAUUUGCAAAAACCAGAUAAAGUAAACUCGGUGUGUUGAUCUGUGAUGAGGUACGCAGGGGGAAGCAAAGCCGCGACAUGUAUAGACGAGCAUCUCUAGUUCUUGUAAUCGACCGAAUUUUUUUAUUCCUGAUUCUUAAUACACAAUUCUCCGGACCCAUCAUACAUUUUUAUGCAUUACAUCAUUGACCGGACAUGCAAUCCACAGUUAAGAUUGAUGUAUUUUUUAAAUUCAGAUACACAAAGUAAGAGAGAGAUAAGAGAGAUUACGAAUCUAAACUUAUUAGCUUCCUUACACCCUUCAAGACCAUCCACGCAAGGUUUACUGAUCAGUACAUGAGUUUCAGGUUUAGGAAAGCCAACCCAACUGGCUUACACUUAAUUUGCCUUUUGAUUGAUCCAUCCAUUUGCUUGUUAUUCUUACCAAUACUUUGUUUAGAUAUGUUCAUUGCCAUGUUGGUUGUUUCAUCCCCUGCAAAUAAAUUAUACAUUAGUUGACUAAUCCACACUUCUUGACAUUUUCUUUAGAUUUUUUGUUAUUGUGCUUUACUGUGUCUAACUAUGAUGUAAAAUAACGGAUUCAAACAAUCAAAAGUAAGAACAAUUCCAAGAAGUAAAAACGUUCUUGGUCAAAAUCUUCUUGAGUAGACAUCGAUAAGAACAUUGUCCAAGUAUUUUACAUUUCUUUAUUUGUUGCUUGAAUUAACAAAUGAGACUUCUUUUCCUGUUUGGAAUGAAAAAUUAAAGAAUAUCAGUUCUUGUGGUACUAAUUCUGGCAGCCUUAUUUUACACCAUCAUCUUUUAUACAAAAAGGGUAAGGUCGCCCAUAAGUUAUGGGCCAUAACUAUGUCAUAUGCAUAGUUACCACAUAUACUAAGCAAGUGUGUUGGGUUUAGUUGCAUGUAAUUAACUCAAAAUAGAACUGGUCAAAUAUAACAACAGUAGAGUACCUUUCCGCUAAAAUUACUUCAAACAUGUAAUUUACAAUAUUAAGAAAAUAAAAAAUAUUUUAUUUGUUUUCUCAAUGUCAUAUUAGACUUUUUCUGAUUCCUAUAGAACAAAGGAAUAAGCAUGGUGCAUACCAAGUAAAAUUCUGAACCUAAACAGUUACCCAUUUCUCCGGUCAAAACGCUUGCUUACGUGCACCCACCCUCAAGAGCAGCAAAGCAAGCUUGACAGAGCAUGGAAACCUGAGUUUAUGGUCAAAGGAAGAUGUCUUUGCACCAUCUAUUCGCUUGUUGUAGUUACCAACUGCACUUCGUUGAGAUAUGUUCAUUUCCCUGUUUAUUGUUGCUCCAUUCUUUGCAAAAUAAACUAUAAUUUAGUUGACUAAGACACACAGCUUGACAUAUUCUUUAGAUUUUGUGUGUCUGCUCUUUGUUGUUCUACAUUUGAUGUAAAAUAAGAGAUUCAAACAAUCAAAAGUUAGAACAGUUCCAAGAAGUAGAGCAGAAUCAUUCUUGGUCAAACUCUUCUUGAGCAGUCAUCUCUAUAAAUGUUUGGGAGUUCUCGAUAUUAGUCUCCAAUUACAUUUCAUCUCUUUCUCUUUCUUUGUGGCUUGAGAUUUGAAAUGGGACUCCUUUUUAUGCUUGGAAUGAAGAAUUACAGAAUUUUUGUGGUGCUAACUCUGCUAAUAAUUCUCAAUGGGCAGAGCAGUCUCGAGGCAAGAGCUGGUGCGGACAGAAAGGUACUAGACAAUGAUUAUUAUUAUUUUUUGACCAGUAACAUAAGCAGACACCAGUAGACUAACAAAGUUGGUUCUGUUGUUGUAAACUAUAAUAGGUUCAUAUAGUGUAUUUGGGUGAGAAGCAGCAUGAUGAUCCUGAGUUUGUCACAGAUUCUCAUCAUCAGAUGUUGUGGUCUCUUCUUGGAAGGUAUGUGAGACUAGUUUCUCUUCCCAAGUUUAUAUUAAUGCCUCAAACUGUUACUCAGAUUUCUAGAGUUUUGUGUUUGUUCCCAUGAUUACAGUAAAGAGGAUGCUCAUGAUUCUAUGGUGUACAGUUACCGACAUGGCUUCUCAGGUUUUGCAGCCAAGCUUACCAAAUCUCAAGCCAAACAAAUAGCAGGUACCACAUAUCAUGUCUCUAAGUCUCAUAUAUUUUCUUGGCUUUCUUGUAAGAAAAACACCUACGUCAUACAUCUACAUGCCAUCUUCAUUUGCCACGUCAAACACAUCUGAAAUGUUUCUCACUGCUAAUUAUGUGGCAACAGAUUUACCUGAGGUGGUUCACGUCACACCUGAUAGUUUCUACGAACUGACAACAACUCGUACGUGGGACUACUUAGGACUUUCAGCCGCCACUCCGAAAAAUCUUCUAAAUGACAGUAAUAUGGGUGAAGAAGUUAUCAUUGGCGUUGUGGACACAGGUUGGAGUGUUAAUUUAUUUGUACAUACAUGUCCUGUUGCUUCUGAAUAAUCAAUUAAAAAAAAAACAUAUUCUGAUUGUGCAGGAGUAUGGCCAGAAUCUGAAGUCUUUAACGACAAUGGUAUUGGACCGGUGCCAAAACACUGGAAAGGAGGCUGUGAAUCAGGAGAGGAUUUCAACUCCUCUCACUGCAACAAAAAGCUCAUAGGAGCCAAAUAUUUCAUCAAUGGGUUUCUUGCGGAGAACGAAAGCUUCAACGAGACAGAAUCACCAGACUUUAUUUCCCCUAGAGACUAUGAUGGUCAUGGCACGCAUGUCGCUACCAUAGCUGGUGGUUCGGUCUUGCCUGGCAUAAGCUACAAGGGCCUUGCCGGAGGGACGGUGAGAGGCGGGGCCCCUCGUGCUCGAAUAGCAAUGUACAAGGCUUGUUGGGACGAUUCUGGUUGUUAUUCAGCUGACAUCUUGAAAGCUAUGGAUGAAGCUAUACAUGAUGGUGUUGAUGUUUUGUCCCUGUCUCUUGGCUAUCGAGUUCCUUACUUCCCAGAAACUGAUGUUCGAGAUGCGAUAGCUACAGGGGCAUUCCAUGCCGUUUUAAAGGGUAUCACAGUUGUUUGUUCAGGUGGUAACUCUGGCCCAGCUGCUCAGACUGUGGGAAACGCGGCCCCUUGGAUCUUGACAGUGGCUGCAACUACUUUAGACCGGUCCUUCCCCACACCUCUUACACUUGGGAACAAUAAAGUCAUAUUGGUAACAUUAUAUACAUUGUUAUACCAUGUGUAAGAUGUUUACACAGCAAAUAAUAAUGUCUUAUUGUGAGUUCUUUAUCAGGGUCAAGCAAUGUACACAGGUCCAGAACUGGGUUUCACUAGCUUGGUUUACCCAGAGAAUCCAGGGAACAGCAAUGAAAGUUUCUAUGGGUAAUAUCUCUAGCUAGUUUCUUAUUAGGAUAAUAUAUGUUUAUUGUUCAAUAAAUCAUUUGCUAACUUUACUCUGGUUCUUGUAAUACAGUACAUGUGAGCUUCUUCUCUUCAACUCUAAUAGUACAAUGGAGGGGAAAGUUGUGUUGUGCUUCACAUCAUCGAAACGUUCCGGGGCUGUAUCAAGCGCUGCACGUUAUGUGAAGAAUGCUGGUGGUGUUGGAGUUAUUAUCGCAAGAAACCCAGGAGACACUCUCUCCCCAUGUCUAGAUGAUUUCCCUUGUGUUGCUGUUGACUACGAGCUGGGGACAAAUAUACUUCUCUACAUACGUUCCACUGGGUAUGAAGACAUGAGCUUUGAGAGAAGAAUGUGAUCAAACUCUGGUUCUUGUAUUACGGAUAAUGUGCUUGUUGUGGUUUGCAGAUCGCCUGUUGUGAAGAUACAACCUUCUAAAACACUCAUUGGACAACCCGUUGGUACGAAGGUGGCUGAGUUCUCAUCAAGAGGACCUAAUUCAAUUGCCCCUGCGAUCCUUAAAGUACGUCAGAGUCCAUGCACAUAACUUGUCUGUCUCAAGAUGCUUUUAAUCACAUAUCAUGUGUGGCAAUGCAGCCAGAUAUAGCAGCACCAGGAGUGAGCAUACUAGCAGCUACAAACACUAACACCACUUUCAACGACCAAGGAUUCAUUAUGCUCUCAGGAACAUCAAUGGCGGCUCCUGCCAUUUCAGGAGUUGUUGCACUUCUCAAAGCUACACACCGUGAUUGGUCUCCUGCUGCCAUUAGAUCAGCCAUUGUCACUACAGGUUCUUGCCUUCUUUGGAAAAGAUAAGACAACUAAUAGAGUCAACUCUUUAAGAACAUAUUUAUUCUGACAAAUGUGUUUUAAUAACUAUGCAGCUUGGAGAACAGAUCCAUCUGGAGAGCGGAUUUUUGCAGAAGGGUCACCCCGGAAGCUAGCUGAUCCGUUCGACUAUGGAGGAGGUCUUGUGAAUCCAGAGAAAGCAGCAAAACCAGGUCUUGUAUAUGACUUGGGCCUCGAAGACUAUGUUCUCUACAUGUGCACUGUUGGUUAUAACGAGUCAUCAAUCUCUCAGCUUGUGGGUAAAGGAACAAUCUGCUCGAAUCCCAUACCUUCCGUACUUGAUUUCAACUUGCCUUCUAUCACGGUCCCAAACCUCAAAGAAGAAG
rnacentral:lncRNA from 1 species